UUUAGCUGGAGCAUAGACUGGAGCUCUGUACAGCAGGACCUUUUUUUCAAAAGGCACUACAAAGGGAAGAUGGCAGUCAGAGCACCUGGAAGAGGCCAGGCUUCUGCUUGCCACAUGGCAUGUAAGCUGUGGAUGCUGGUAGUCAGCACUGCCCUGCCCUGCUGCUCCUGAGGAUCUUGGGUACUAAUGCCAGGCAUGAUGGGACUCUGCUAAGCAUGCACAGCAUGCACAGGCAAGCAAAUUAAAGUCAUAGCCAGA